UGCCUUGUGGUUCAGGACAACAUUGGGAAACCGAUGCUAAUACUGGAUAAGCCCUUACGGGGAAAGUUUUAAUGCCAUAAGAUGAGCCCGCAUUUGAUUAGUUAGUUGGUGAGGUAAUGGCUCACCAAGACAAUGAUCAAUAGCUGAUCUGAGAGGAUGAUCAGCCACACUGGGACUGAGACACGGCCCAGACUCCUACGGGAGGCAGCA
rnacentral:rRNA from 1 species